UACGUAGGUGGCAAGCGUUGUCCGGAUUUACUGGGCGUAAAGAGCGCGCAGGCGGUCGGAUCAGUCGAAUGUGAAAGCCCCCGGCUCAACUGGGGAGGGUCAUUCGAUACUGUCCGACUCGAAGGCAGGAGAGGGAAGCGGAAUUCCCGGUGUAGUGGUGAAAUGCGCAGAUAUCAGGAGGAACACCAGUGGCGAAGGCGGUGCUCUGGGCCGGAACUGACGCUGAGGAGCGAAAGCGUGGGGAGCAAACAGG
rnacentral:rRNA from 1 species